rnacentral:rRNA from 1 species
GACGAACGCUGGCGGCGUGCUUAACACAUGCAAGUCGAACGGAAAGGCCCUGCUUUUGUGGGGUGCUCGAGUGGCGAACGGGUGAGUAACACGUGAGUAACCUGCCCUUGACUUUGGGAUAACUUCAGGAAACUGGGGCUAAUACCGGAUAGGAGCUCCUGCUGCAUGGUGGGGGUUGGAAAGUUUCGGCGGUUGGGGAUGGGCUCGCGGCUUAUCAGCUUGUUGGUGGGGUAGUGGCUUACCAAGGCUUUGACGGGUAGCCGGCCUGAGAGGGUGACCGGCCACAUUGGGACUGAGAUACGGCCCAGACUCCUACGGGAGGCAGCAGUGGGGGAUAUUGCACAAUGGGCGGAAGCCUGAUGCAGCAACGCCGCGUGCGGGAUGACGGCCUUCGGGUUGUAAACCGCUUUCGCCUGUGACGAAGCGUGAGUGACGGUAAUGGGUAAAGAAGCACCGGCUAACUACGUG